AUAGGAGGUCCAGCUUGCCCAGUGAUAAAAUUCAACGGCCGCGGUAUCCUAACCGUGCGAAGGUAGCGUAAUCACUUGUCCUUUAAAUGAGGACUAGUAUGAGCGGCUUCACGAAGGCUGCACUGUCUCCUUUUUCUAAUCAGUAAAACUAAUCUCCCCGUGAAGAAGCGGGAAUCCACCUAUAAGACGAGAAGACCAUAUGGAGCUUUAAACAAUUGUUUACACUUGCACUCAAAUUCUUAUUUAAUAUCUAACCAAGCAUUAUGUUUCUAGUUUUAGGUUGGGGUGACCAUGGAGAAAAACUUAUCCUCCAUAUUGAAAGAAAUUCUAUUUCUUAGCAAAAAGUUACAUCUUGAUGCACCAACAAAUUGACCUUAAUUGACCCAAUAAUUUGAUCAACGAACCAAGUUACCCUAGGGAUAACAGCGCAAUCCACUUCAAGAGUUCUUAUCGACAAGUGGGUUUACUGAGGG
rnacentral:rRNA from 1 species